rnacentral:rRNA from 1 species
CCUACGGGGUGCAGCAGUGAGGAAUAUUGGUCAAUGGACGAGAGUCUGAACCAGCCAAGUAGCGUGAAGGAUGACUGCCCUAUGGGUUGUAAACUUCUUUUAUAUGGGAAUAAAAUGUUCCACGUGUGGGAUUUUGUAUGUACCAUAUGAAUAAGGAUCGGCUAACUCCGUGCCAGCAGCCGCGGUAAUACGGAGGAUCCGAGCGUUAUCCGGAUUUAUUGGGUUUAAAGGGAGCGUAGGUGGAUUGUUAAGUCAGUUGUGAAAGUUUGCGGUUCAACCGUAAAAUUGCAGUUGAAACUGGCAGUCUUGAGUACAGUAGAGGUGGGCGGAAUUCGUGGUGUAGCGGUGAAAUGCUUAGAUAUCACGAAGAACUCCGAUUGCGAAGGCAGUUCACUGGACUGCAACUGACACUGAGGCUCGAAAGUGUGGGUAUCAAACAGGAUUAGAUACCCGGGUAGUC